rnacentral:rRNA from 1 species
GCGAAGCAUUGAACAAGGAUGUUUUCAUUAAUCAAGAACGAAAGUUGGGGGAUCGAAGAUGAUCAGAUACCGUCGUAGUCCUAACCGUAAACUAUGUCGACUAAAGAUUAGUUAAAGUCUAUUGAAUAAAUGACUUUACUAGUAUUAUAACGAGAAAUCUCAAGUUUUCGGAUUCCGGGGGGAGUAUGGUCGCAAGGCUGAAACUUAAAGGAAUUGACGGAAGGGCACCACCAGGAGUGGAACCUGCGGCUCAAUUGGACUCAACGCCGGGAAACUCACCAGGUCCGGACACAAGAAGGAUUGACAGAUUGAUAGUUCUUUCUUGAUUUUGUGUAAAGUGGUGCAUGGCCGUUUUUAGUUGGUGGAUUGAUUUGUCUGGUUUAUUCCGUUAACGAACGAGACCUUAACUUAUUAAAUAGUAACCUAAACAACACAUUUAAAUAAAAAUGGUACUUAUGUAUCAUUUUUAAAUAAUUAGGCUUUAAUACUUCUUAAAAGGACAUUUCAUGUUUAAUGAAAGGAAGAUUGAGGCAACAACAGGUCUGUGAUGCCCUUCGAUGUUCUGGGCUGCACGCGUGUUACAAUGUUAUAAACAACGAGUUUUAAAGAUCCUAACCUGAAAAAGGUAGAGGUAAUCUUUUAAAACUAUAACAUGAUUGGGAUAGAUCCUUGUAAUUAUUGGUCUUGAACGAGGAAUUCCUAGUAAAUAUAAGUAAUCAUCUUAUGUUGAUUACGUCCCUGCCCUUUGUACACACCGCCCGUCGCUCCUACCGAUUGAAUGUCAAGGUGAGGAUUUAGGAUGUAGAGUUUGAAUAAAAUAAAAAAUUUGGAAAUAAGAAUUUAUUCUUAUGGAAGAAUUUUUUUUUAUUCUAAAGAUCUUGACCAAUCGGAAAAAAUCUAUGCUUUAUUCUAAAAUUUAUC